GGCUCAGAACGAACGCGGGCGGCGUGGAUAAGACAUGCAAGUCGAACGAUGAUUGCAGGGUAGCAAUAUUCUGCAGUUGGAGUGGCGUAAGGGUGCGUAACACGUGGGUUAUUUGCCCUGAAGUGGGGGAUAACUCCGAGAAAUCGGAGCUAAUACCGCAUGUGAUCGAAAGAUCAAAGCUGGGUCGCAAGACCUGGUGCUUCAGGAUAAGCCCGCGACCUAUCAGCUAGUUGGCAGGGUAACGGCCUACCAAGGCGAAGACGGGUAGCUGGUCUGAGAGGACGACCAGCCACACUGGAACUGAGACACGGUCCAGACACCUACGGGUGGCAGCAGUCGAGAAUUUUUCACAAUGGGCGAAAGCCUGAUGGAGCGACGCCGCGUGGGGGAUGAAUGGCUUCGGCCCGUAAACCCCUGUCAUUCGGGAUCAAUGCGCCUGGUCUAAUACAUCAGGCGUUGAUAGUACCGGAAGAGGAAGGGACGGCUAACUCUGUGCCAGCAGCCGCGGUAAUACAGAGGUCCCAAGCGUUGUUCGGAUUCACUGGGCGUAAAGGGUGCGUAGGCGGCCAGGUAAGUCUGGUGUGAAAUCUCGGAGCUCAACUCCGAAACGGCACUGGAAACUAUCUGGCUUGAGGUUGGGAGGGGGGACUGGAAUUCUCGGUGUAGCAGUGAAAUGCGUAGAUAUCGAGAGGAACACCAGUGGCGAAGGCGAGUCCCUGGACCAAUCCUGACGCUGAGGCACGAAAGCCAGGGGAGCAAACGGGAUUAGAUACCCCGGUAGUCCUGGCCCUAAACGGUGCAUGUUUGCUGUGAGAGGAAUCGACCCCUUUCGUGGCGGAGCUAACGCGUUAAACAUGCCGCCUGGGGAGUACGGUCGCAAGAUAAAACUCAAAU
rnacentral:rRNA from 1 species